rnacentral:rRNA from 1 species
ACUCCUACGGGAGGCAGCAGUGGGGAAUUUUGGACAAUGGGCGCAAGCCUGAUCCAGCCAUGCCGCGUGAGUGAAGAAGGCCUUCGGGUUGUAAAGCUCUUUCGGCCGGGAAGAAAUCGUGUUCUCUAACAUAGGACAUGGAUGACGGUACCGGACUAAGAAGCACCGGCUAACUACGUGCCAGCAGCCGCGGUAACACGUAGGGUGCGAGCGUUAAUCGGAAUUACUGGGCGUAAAGCGUGCGCAGGCGGUUUUGUAAGACAGAUGUGAAAUCCCCGGGCUUAACCUGGGAACUGCGUUUGUGACUGCAAGGCUAGAGUACGGCAGAGGGGGGUGGAAUUCCUGGUGUAGCAGUGAAAUGCGUAGAGAUCAGGAGGAACACCGAUGGCGAAGGCAGCCCCCUGGGCUGACACUGACGCUCAGGCACGAAAGCGUGGGGAGCAAACAGGAUUAGAUACCCUGGUAGUC